UCGCUCCCAGACCUAGCUCACUCACGAACAUUCUCCCCCAAAUCUCAGCCCCCAACCUAGCUCUCUCUCCAUCGGCCGGCGGCUGGCUGCUCCCUGAAUCCCUCGCCGUCGGCUGCGCCCCCAAAUCCCUCGCCUAUUCCAUUCUCUCGUUCGCCCCCUCCGCCCCCAAAUCCCUCGCCUCUUCCAUCCUCUCGUCCGUCCCCUCCGCCUGAUUCACUGGUCAGUAGCCCAAUGACCGCUACCUCCGAAGUGUUGCCGGCAAAGCUUCCCGCGGCUUCCAGAAGAGGGUCGUCGUCAACGACCCCGUGGCCGCCGUCACUCGACCACUGCAUCCGUCCCUGAGCGGCGCCCUUUCCAAUCCAGGUUACAGGACUUCUGAAGUUAUUUCACUUGUUGACGAGAAAGAAAACAUAGUUAAACUGCUGAUUGUCAAGGAUUAGAUCUUGGAUUUGCUAGUGGAUUUUGGGAGUUUCUUAGCCUGCUUGGUGACUCCAUAUUUUUCACUAUUUCAACAAGUCUUUGAAUUUGUUAAAUGGUAGAUCAUGCAUGGAUGUAUAAUGGUUGGCAGUAUGGUCAAAUUCCCUCUAACCUAUGGCUUGAACAAACCAACCGAUUUCUAGAGCAUGCAUUCUCCUUUCCCGGCGUAGCCGAAGGUGGUAAAAUCAGGUGUCCAUGUGCCAAGUGUCGUAAUUAUAAUAAGCACGGUAGGGAUGAGGUAGAGAAACACUUGUAUAAAUACGGGUUCAGGGAAAACUAUGAAACGUGGAUAGAACAUGGUGAGAAGUAUGUUCCUAGCCAACAGGGAUCUUCCUCUGCCACAAACUGUGCGAGGCAUGAUGAAAUUUUUCCAGGCGUAGCCAAAGGUGGUAAUUCCUGAUAAAACUAAAGAUAAUGUGAAGGCAAGAAAAGAUCUAGCUGAAAUUUGCAACCAUCCUUCGAUGCACUUGAAAUUGAAGGACAAUGGGAAGUGGGAGAAGCCAAGAGCACCUUUUGUCAUCGAUAAGAAGGAUGUGAUAACCAUUCUGAAAUGGUUCCAAGAGCUGAAGUUCCCCGAUGGGUAUGCAUCAAGCUUUAGACGGGGAUUUAGCCUACUACACAGAAAGAUUUUUGGCUUCAAAAGUCAUGAUUACCAUAUCUUCAUGGAACGCCUACUUCCUGUUGCAUUUCGUGGCUUCCUUCCAGAGGACAUAUGGAAGUGUCUAGCAGAGCUAAGUUAUUUCUAUAGGCAGCUAUGUGCAAAAGAACUUAGCAAGGAUACCAUACGUUCACUUGAGGAGAAUGUUGUUGUUCUUGUAUGCAAAUUGGAGAAGAUAUUCCCUCCUGGUUUCUUCAAUCCCAUGCAACAUUUAAUCAUACAUCUUCCAUACCAAGCUCGGCUAGGAGGUCCUGUAUUAGCUCGAUGGAUGUACAUCUAUGAAAGGAUGAUUACUGUGAUUUGGCUAGAGCCACACAUCCUGAUGAUUGGGAGGAGCGAGAGUUAGAUGGGCAAAUGUUAUAUGAGUCAUCAAGUGGCAUUCCUCAUGGGCGACUAGCAAUAGCGGAUGGAGCAAUUAAGAAGGCUGAUGUUAUCUCAAUAGCUAGAGAGAAGAAACUGAGGCCGUUAUCUUCAACAUCAUUUCGGCGAACUAUUCAAAAAAACGAAGAACUGAAGCGAUGAGAUAUUCAAGAAAACGAAGAACUGAAGCGACGUAAUGUGAACCUUCAAAAGAUAGUGGAUAUGCAUGGAAGACUUUUCUUGGCCCUUUUUAAGGAGAUGGGAAAAGAACUACCAGAGGAGCUACGCCAAGGAGAAAGUUUCCAACCACAUGGGGGCACUAAUUCAUCUCAAAUUGGAACCCAAGCACUUGAUGACAACACCGGUGAUGGUGAUUUGGGUGGGACUUUUGGCGGUGACAACUCCAAUGGGAAUAUUGGCGACAUGGCUAUUGGUGCAACUAACCUUCACUCCAAUUGAACAAUUUUGGAGCUAAUGGUGGUGUUGGUAACAGAGUAGCAUUUUGGAAGUUGCAAUAGACACUAGGGGCAGGUUAUCUACUUCUGUGAAGUAUGUUGUAUUUUGUUUGUAAUGCACUGGAGCUUAUCCUUGAAACUUGCAAGUUGAACAAUUUAUCUUUUGUUGUCGAGAACAGUUAUGUACUUAGAUGUGCAAAACUAAAUCUUAUCAGUCCAA